rnacentral:rRNA from 1 species
GAUGAACGCUGGCGGCGUGCCUAAUACAUGCAAGUCGAGCGAACAGAUGAGGAGCUUGCUCCUCUGACGUUAGCGGCGGACGGGUGAGUAACACGUGGAUAACCUACCUAUAAAACUGGGAUAACUUCGGGAAACCGGAGCUAAUACCGGAUAAUAUAUUUAAUCGCAUGGUUCAAUAGUGAAAGACGGUUUUGCUGUCAAUUAUAGAUGGAUCCGCGCCGCAUUAGCUAGUUGGUAAGGUAACGGGUUACCAAGGCAACGAUGCGUAGCCGACCUGAGAGGGUGAUCGGCCACACUGGAACUGAGACACGGUCCAGACUCCUACGGGAGGCAGCAGUAGGGAAUCUUCCGCACUGGGCGAAAGCCUGACGGAGCAACGCCGCGUGAGUGAUGAAGGUCUUCGGAUCGUAAAACUCUGUUAUUAGGGAAGAACAAAUGUGUAAGUAACUAUGCACGUCUUGACGGUACCUAAUCAGAAAGCCACGGCUAACUACGUG